AUUGAACGCUGGCGGCAGGCCUAACACAUGCAAGUCGAGCGGAUGAAGGGAGCUUGCUCCUGGAUUCAGCGGCGGACGGGUGAGUAAUGCCUAGGAAUCUGCCUGGUAGUGGGGGAUAACGUCCGGAAACGGGCGCUAAUACCGCAUACGUCCUGAGGGAGAAAGUGGGGGAUCUUCGGACCUCACGCUAUCAGAUGAGCCUAGGUCGGAUUAGCUAGUUGGUGGGGUAAAGGCCUACCAAGGCGACGAUCCGUAACUGGUCUGAGAGGAUGAUCAGUCACACUGGAACUGAGACACGGUCCAGACUCCUACGGGAGGCAGCAGUGGGGAAUAUUAGACAAUGGGCGAAAGCCUGAUCCAGCCAUGCCGCGUGUGUGAAGAAGGUCUUCGGAUUGUAAAGCACUUUAAGUUGGGGGGAAGGGCAGUAAGUUAAUACCUUGCUGUUUUGACGUUACCAACAGAAUAAGCACCGGCUAACUUCGUG
rnacentral:rRNA from 1 species